CUUCUCUCUGCCCGUCUCUGCUUCCCCCCCCUUCCCCCCCCCCUUUUCUCCCGGCCGACGGAGCUGAAGGGGCGGGGGUUCCUUCCUUGGAGUGUUUCUAGAGCUCGGAGGCUGCUGGUAGGGGGAAGUUGUACCCGUCAGCACCUGCUGAGGGCUUUGUUGUCCAAACCCUGACAGGUAAAAAAAUUCCUGCAGAAUAAAGCCAGACCAGCUGGCUUUGAAGAGAAACCCCCCAGUUUGGGCUGCGUUUGCCUCCUCUCCUUUUCUAUGAAGACCGAGGCUUUGCCCCCUUGAUCGUCAAGCCGUGAGAUGCGUGAUCUCUCUGCACAAGUGUCUGGCAGGCCGAGGUGCACCUGUUUCUGUCACUCUGGAGUAAAUUUAGCUGUAAAGGUAUCACUGACAACCAGACCUUUGUCAGUGCUGGCAAAAGAACACAGAAUUGCUUCCCUCCCCUCCCCCCUCCCGACCCCCUAUGCUGCUAGUUCCAAUGGAAAAUAUCCAAUCGGAAGUCUAUCCAAAAAUCAUUCCUAAAAAAUGAAAUUGCUUUCAUAUGGUAUAAAAAAGUAAGUUUCCUCAUUUCAAGCAGAUUUUAAAAUUACAUUUCCAAGAAUAAUCUUGGAACAAGACAAGUUUUCGUUCAAUUAAUUGUGGCUGGAAACUUUUUAAUGGAAACAUAGCACAUACUUACUUCAUUUCAGGUUAUUAAAUUGUGUUAAGCAUAAAAGUUAUUUGCCAUUCUUUGUUGCAGCUCAUUUGUUCUUUUCGAUUCUAAGAAAUAUUAGAAGGUUAAAUAACUUAUCACAUAGGAGAGAUUAUUCAUACUACCAAAAUUAGAAUGUGUGUAGUUCUGAGGGACUGAAUGUCAAAAUUGUAUGCUCAUAGCACUAAAACUAUUGGGAAUCUAGGAUGCCACUGGAACAUGUAAAAUGGCAGCUAAGGUCUAUGGAAACCCUUCAUGUUUAGAAACUGGCUAAAGCUUGAGUUCUCUUAUCUUUUGGUUAAGGUAAGGACGUUUAUCAUUUAUGUGAAUGUUUUAGACUAAUUUCUUUAUUAGUGGUUUGAGCAAUAUUCCUUUUGAGGAAAAUAGAGAGGCAGGCAAUAUUCAUUAAUAUGUCUGACAUAAAUAAAAUAGUCAAGAUAUAUAAAGCAGCCCAAGGAGUAACAUCCUUAGGCACCACUUUCAGAUAAAAACAUAGACCUGAAUGGCAUCAUCCAGUAUCCAAGGAAACCAUGUUCUCUAAACAUGAAUAUGCCUUUGGGGGAAGACAGAAGAACAUGGAAGCCAUGUGAAAAAAACGGAUCCUAAGGCAGUUUUGAACAUCUGGAGGCCUGAUUUAUUGGAGAUUGCAAAUGUACAGUGUAACAUAGCUGUGGAGAGCGAGAAGAUCAGGAUUGUCAAUGCUGUCAUUGCUUUUACUGGAAUCCCCAGCACGAAUUGAAGGUCUCACUUUGCCACCUAGGCUGGAUGCAAUGCAACGGUAUGUUGAUCUUGGUUCACUGCAGCCUCAACCUCCUGAGCUCAUGUGAUCCUCCCACCUCAGUCCCCCACGUCGCUUGGAUUACAGGCCUGUGCCACCACACCUGGCUAACUUUUUUUGUAAUUUUUGUAGAGACAGGGUCUCACUAUGUUUCCCAUGCUGGUCUUUAAUGCCUGAGCUCAAGCCAUCCGCCUGCCUCGGCCUCCCAAAUUGCUGGGAUUACAGGCAUGAGCCACCAUGCCCAGCCUAAUUCUUCUAAAUCUUAUCCUAGUAAUUAAGCCAGAAUUUUUCUCUGCCAAGACCAAUAGAUGGACCAAGAAGUACUCAUCCUUGUAAACUUUCUUUGGAUAAAUUGCUUACAUAUAAUAAAUUCAGAGUUAAGUAAUAAAAAUAAUGAACUACUGUCUUG
rnacentral:lncRNA from 10 species